rnacentral:snRNA from 1 species
AUACUUACCUGGCAGAGGAGAUACCAUGAUCACAAAGGUGGUUUUCCUAGGGCGAGGCUCGCCCACUGCACUCUGGGUGUACUGACCCCUGCAAUUUCCCCAAAUAUGGGAAACUUGACUGCAUAAUUUAUGGUAGUGGGGGACUGUGUUCACGCUCUCCCCUA